rnacentral:rRNA from 1 species
CCUACGGGGGGCAGCAGUAGGGAAUAUUGGUCAAUGGAGGCAACUCUGAACCAGCCAUGCCGCGUGUAGGAAGAAGGCGUUCUGCGUUGUAAACUACUUUUGAUUGGGAACAAAUGACUCUUGCGAGAGUAGCUGAGUGUACCAAUAGAAUAAGCCACGGCUAACUACGUGCCAGCAGCCGCGGUAAUACGUAGGUGGCAAGCGUUGUCCGGAUUUAUUGGGUUUAAAGGGUGCGUAGGCGGCUUAAUAAGUCAGUGGUGAAAGCCGAUCGCUUAACGAUCGAACUGCCAUUGAUACUGCUAGGCUUGAGUAUAGUUGAGGUAGGCGGAAUUGACAGUGUAGCGGUGAAAUGCAUAGAUAUUGUCAAGAACACCAAUUGCGAAGGCAGCUUACUAAAGUAUAACUGACGCUGAGGCACGAAAGUGCGGGGAUCAAACAGGAUUAGAUACCCUAGUAGUC